GACGGAGGAUGCAAGCGUUAUCCGGAAUUAUUGGGCGUAAAGCGUACGUAGGCUGUUAGAUAAGUCUGUUGUCAAAGCGCGAGGCUCAACCUUGUAAAGGCAAUGGAAACUGUUUGACUAGAGAGAGAUAGGGGCAGGAGGAAUUCCAGGUGUAGCGGUGAAAUGCGUAGAUAUCUGGAAGAACACCAGUGGCGAAAGCGUCCUGCUGGAUCUCAACUGACGCUGAAGUACGAAAGCUAGGGGAGCGAAUGGG
rnacentral:rRNA from 1 species